GGCUGGUCCAAUGGUAGUGGGUUUUCAGAACUUACUAACAUUAGCGUCACUAAAGUUGAUAUACAACCCUCCACUGCUAAAUUUGACUAGCUUAAA
rnacentral:Y_RNA from 1 species